rnacentral:rRNA from 1 species
AUGUGUGUACCCAAAAACCAAGGAGGAAUGGGUUUUCGGGAUAUCCAUUGUUUCAAUUUGGCUAUGCUUGCUAAACAGGCUUGGCGUCUUAUCGAGAAUCCGGAAUCUCUAUGUGCUACUAUUCUGAGAGUCAAAUACGAUCCUGACGGUUACUUGUUGAACACUGACUUGAAGAAGGGUUCUUCCUUCAUCUAGCAAAGUAUUAUGGCGGGUGUGAGCUCCCUGAAGCGUGGUCAUAUUUGACGAGUGGAAAAUGGGUAGAAUAUUGACAUUUGGGAGUACGCUUGGAUUCCUAAUUAUGCAAACCGUAAAAUUGUUACCCCUAAGGGAGGCCAGUUGUUACGGAAGGUAGCAGAUUUGAUUGAUCCAAUCCUAAAUAGUUGGGAUGAAGAUCUUCUCAGGCAGACUCUAUGGCCUAUUGAUGUUCAGCGAGUGCUUGCGAUCCCGAUAUCACAACAUGAUAUGCCAGAUUUCGUAGCUUGGAAUUUCACAAAAAAUGGGAUCUUUUUGGUUUGGUCUGCUUAUUUUGUGAAAUGGGACCACCAAUAUGGGAGCAAGUUACGACAUAUCAAUGGGAUGAGACUUACCACGGUCAAUCCUAUUUGGGGGAGGAUUUGGAAACUUGCUUGUCCAGCAAAGGUUAACAUAUUUAUUUGGCGUACACUUCACGACACUCUUCCGUGUCGUGUUAACUUAGCUAAUAAACAUGUGAAAGUCUCGCCUGAGUGUCCUGCCUGUUCAUCUGGGCCAGAAGACACAAAACAUCUGUUGUUUCUAUGUGACAGAGAAGUCUGGAGAAGACUAGGGAUGAACGAUAUUAUCGACAGAGCUUGUAAAAUAGACUAUGCAGGUGAGACAAUCUUAGAAUAUUUACUUUCAUUAGCAGAUCAGGAACUAUGUAUUAUGGGCACUCAUAAUAUGCGUGACAUGAUUGCCAUACCAGCCUGGUACUUGUGGUAG